GCCCGAUAGCCUUAUAAAGGUUUUGGUUCGGUCCAGGCUGUGCAGGUUCUCUAUGGACUAGUAUCUCCAUCGACGUUGCCACAUAGUAUCCCGAUUUGGCUGAGUAUGCUCCUGACCUUGCCGCCAGCCAAAUGAAGGAGUCUGGCGAACCAAUGAUGCUCGGUUUGAUGCGCAGAAUGUCAGGUAGGUAUUAUGGGAGUACCUCCAUGAUUCUUUGAACAUUCCAGUCAGAGGUACCUCGGCAAAGGAAGUCUGCCACCACAAGAUCUUGAUGCUCCU
rnacentral:lncRNA from 1 species